GAAAUGCGAUAAGUAAUGUGAAUUGCAGAAUUCAGUGAAUCAUCGAAUCUUUGAACGCACCUUGCGCUCCUUGGUAUUCCGAGGAGCAUGCCUGUUUGAGUGUCAUGGAAUUCUCAACUCUAUUUGCUUUUGUGAAUAGAGCUUGGAUUUGGAGGUUUAUUGCUGGUACUUGUGAUCGGCUCCUCUUGAAUGCAUUAGCUCGAACCUUUGCGGAUCAGCUAUCGGUGUGAUAAUUGUCUACGCCGUUGCAGUGAAGCAUAUCAAUGGGCUCGGCUUCCAAUCGUCCUCUACUGGACAAUGACUUUGAACUUUGACCUCAAAUCAGGUAGGAUUACCCGCUGAACUUAAGC
rnacentral:misc_RNA from 1 species